AUCAACGCUGGCGGCGCGCCUAACACAUGCAAGUCGAACGAGAAAGCGGGGCAGCUCGCGAGUAAAGUGGCGUACGGGUGAGUAACACGUGGGUAAUCUACCCUUUGGUGGGGAAUAACCCUGGGAAACCGGGGAUAAUACCGCAUAAUCCCGAGAGGGAAAAGGAGAAAUCCGCCGAAGGAGGAGCCCGCGGCCGAUUAGCUAGUUGGUAGGGUAACAGCCUACCAAGGCCGAGAUCGGUAGCCGGCCUGAGAGGGCACACGGCCACACUGGCACUGAAACACGGGCCAGACUCCUACGGGAGGCAGCAGUGGGGAAUCUUGCACAAUGGGGGAAACCCUGAUGCAGCGACGCCGCGUGAGCGAUGAAGCCCUUCGGGGUGUAAAGCUCUUUCGGCAGGGAAGAUUAUGACGGUACCUGCAAAAGCAGCUGCGGCUAACUACGU
rnacentral:rRNA from 1 species